UAAUACCCGGGGAUUAAGAAAAGGAUUAGCAAAACCUUAACUAGAUAAUUAUGAGUUAAUUGAGGAAUUAUAUUAUUAUAUAGUUCAAUAUAUGUGAAAUUAUAUGAAUUUAACAUGUUAAAGACCCCGUUGGUGAGCCAGGGGCAUUUUGGUAAUUAUGACCCGAGAAGAGUAAAAUGAUGAAAUUAAUUUAAUUAUGUGCUUAAUAGAACUAUAUUAUUAUAUAGUAUGCCUGUGUUGUCUUUUCAGGUGUGUUCUGACAGGUUGGCGCGGUAUAGUCACAACCGGGUAUUUUGGGCCGAACCGGGUUCGGGCCCGAAAUGCAAAUUAGAUUGAAUUAAUUGGCAUUUUAUUUGAUAAUGAGAAAUCUGAAAUUUAAUUGGGUUUGAAUUGGUGUGUAAAUGUCAUUUUGCCCUUGCAUGCCUAAGUGAAUGUUAUUUGGCCCUAGGGGGCAAAAUGGUCUUUUUAGACCCUUAAUUUAUGUUUAAUAAAAGAAUGAUUUUAAGGAAAAGAGAAUUAUUUUUCUAGUUUUCCUUCAGCCCUAAAACCGUACCCCUCCUCUCCUCUUCACUUAUUUCUUAAAUGUUUAGAUUUUUGUAGAUUGUUCUUGAAUUGAAGGUUUUGUAAAGUUGAAUUUCUUGUGGAUAGAAGCUUGAAGUUGUGGAUUACCGGCACCUGGUCAGGAGCACCCGGGGAUUUGGAAUCUCUACUAUUGCGGGACAACAGGAAAGGGUAAGGCAUUAGCUGAUCUGCCAUGAGUUUCAGGAGCAGACGAAGAAUGUACAUGUUCACGCCACUUCAGACCAAGCGGGUUAUGGGUCUAACAGUGUUGACUUUUGUAUUCUGUUUUGCCGCUUAGGUCGGCUAGUAAGAAAGAACUUGUAAUAAGUUGUAAAUAUUUUUGGGAUCCCAACUAUUUUGAAAAGUUUAAAUAUAUUACAAGUUUUAUUUUCA